GCUCAGGACGAACGCUAGCGGCAGGCUUAAUACAUGCAAGUCGAACGAGAAAGCAUCUUCGGGUGUUAGUACAGUGGCGAAAGGGUGAGUAACACGUACGCAAUCUGCCCCAUUCUAGGAAAUACCUUUUGGAAACAGAAGACAAUGUCCUAUAUAAUUCUAUGAGCGCAUGCUUUAGGAAUGAAAGUUCAGGCGGAAUGGGAUGAGCGUGCGCCCUAUUAGCUAGUUGGUGAGGUAACGGCUCACCAAGGCAAUAAUGGGUAGGGGUUCUGAGAGGAAGGUCCCCCACACUGACACUGAGAUACGGGUCAGACUCCUACGGGAGGCAGCAGUAGGGAAUAUUGGUCAAUGGACGCAAGUCUGAACCAGCCAUGCCGUGUGCAGGACGAAGCUUUUAGGAGUGUAAACUGCUUUUUUUAUGGAAACAAAUGCCCCUUGCGAGGGGAGCUGAGGGUACCAUAAGAAUAAGUACCGGCAAACUACGUGCCAGCAGCCGCGGUAAUACGUAGGGUGCAAGCGUUGUCCGGAUUUACUGGGUUUAAAGGGUGCGUAGGCGGCUUUUCAAGUCGGUGAUGAAAUCUUGGCGCUUAACGUCAAAACUGUUACCGAUACUGUUGAGCUUGAGUUAUAAUUAGGUAGGCGGAAUUUAUGGUGUAGCGGUGAAAUGUUUAGAUAUCAUAAGGAACUCCAAUAGCGUAGGCAGCUUGCUAGUUAUAUCUGACGCUGAGGCACGAAAGGCGGGGAGCAAACAGGAUUAGAUACCCUGGUAGUCCGUUCUGUAAACGAUGAUUACUCGAUGGGUGCUCAUGCAUCUGUCUAAGCGAAAGCAUUAAGUAAUCCACCUGGGGAGUACGCUCGCAAGAGUGAAACUAAAAGGAAUUGACGGGGGUCCGCACAAGCGGUGGAGUAUGUGGUUUAAUUCGUAAGUACGCGAGGAACCUUACCUGGGCUAGAAUGCCUCUGACAGUCUAAGAAAUUAGAUCUUCCUUCGGGACAGAGUGCAAGGUGCUGCAUGGCUGUCGUCAGCUCGUGCCGUGAGGUGUCGGGUUAAGUCCUUUAACGAGCGCAACCCCUUUUCUUAGUUGCCAGCACGUUAUGGUGGGGACUCUAGGAAGACUGCCUGCGUAAGCAGAGAGGAAGGUGGGGAUGAUGUCAAGUCAUCAUAGCCUUUAUGCCCAGGGCUACACACGUACUACAAUGGCGUAUACAAAGGGCUGCUACCUGGUAACAGGAUGCUAAUCUCAAAAGUACGUCUCAGUUCGGAUUGAGGUCUGCAACUCGACCUCAUGAAGUUGGAAUCGCUAGUAAUCGCGUAUCAGCAACGUCGCGGUGAAUACGUUCUCGGACCUUGUACACACCGCCCAUCAAGCCAUGGGAGUCGGUAGGGCUUGAAGGCAGUUGCUGUCAAAAGAGCUGCUUAGGGCUAGAUC
rnacentral:rRNA from 1 species